rnacentral:rRNA from 1 species
ACGACGCUGGCGGCGUGCUUAACACAUGCAAGUCGAACGAGGGAAUUGAAAGCUUGCUUUUGAAGCCCGAGUGGCAAACGGGUGAGUAACGCGUAGGCAACCUGCCCUUUAGUUGGGACAACAUCCCGAAAGGGGUGCUAAUACCGAAUGUGACAGUUUUCUCGCAUGAGAUUACUGUGAAAGAUGGCCUCUAUUUAUAAGCUAUUGCUAAAGGAUGGGCCUGCGUCUGAUUAGCUAGUUGGUGGGGUAACGGCCUACCAAGGCGACGAUCAGUAGGGGUUCUGAGAGGAAGGUCCCCCACAUUGGAACUGAGACACGGUCCAAACUCCUACGGGAGGCAGCAGUGAGGAAUAUUGGUCAAUGGGCGCAAGCCUGAACCAGCCAAGUAGCGUGCAGGAUGACGGCCCUAUGGGUUGUAAACUGCUUUUAUGCGGGGAUAAAGUUGGGGACGCGUCCCUUUUUGCAGGUACCGCAUGAAUAAGGACCGGCUAAUUCCGUG